UGUCUCCUCAAAUCUGGAUGUUGCUCAGUUCUCUCCUCAGCUCUCUCUGAUGAACACUCACAGUUAAUCGAGCUGGACCUGAGCUACAAUGACCUGGAGGAAUCAGGAGUUAAUGAGCUUUGUGAGGGGCUGAGGAGCAAAAACUGCAAAUUACAAAAACUGAGGGUACAGCAUAAUAAGAUCAGUGAGGAAGUGAAGAGGAGCCUUCAGUCGCUGGUGGAGGAGCUGAACAGAUCAGGACGGAGGGUAGAGAUCUCUACAUGAGAAGAGCAGACAUUAAAUAACUGUGAUGAACGACUUGGAACAAGAUGCUUGGCUUGUACUCUUCAGAGAACACUGAGAAGGUGAAAAGGAACCUGAAGUCACUACAAGAGGAAUUGAUCAGAUCAGGAUGGUGGAUAGACAUCUUUACAUGAGAAGAGCAGCUUUGUGACCAGACUGACCGCCCAGUGAUGAAGAUUUAUCUUUGGACUUUCUCCAACUUAUUAUUUUAAAGAUUUGACUCAGAACUUUAUUUGUCAUCAGGGGAAAUUAGGGCAUUUUAAAGAGGUUCUUUAAAUGAAUAAAUACAUAAAUAGAUUGAUAUACACACACACUGCGGUCUGAACACACACCAGUAUGACUAAAAAGGAAGAAAAGUUUAAAAAGAAAGAAAAGAAAAACUCUGAUGGUCACAGUCACAUGUGGCAUUAUUCAGGCGUAUUGCUGUAGGUAUAAAGGAGUCCCCACUGUGUUUAUUGACACACUCCUGCUGAAUGAUUUGUUGGCUGGAAGUCCUCACUGCUGGUGUGGUGUGUCACAGAGAGGAUGUACCUUAUUGUUCAUAAUGGCGCCCAGUUUUGUUUUAAUUCUCUCCUUUGCUGUUGCCUACAGGGGGUCCAGAGUCGCUCCUAUUAUUGAGCCUUCUCUUUUAAUUAGCAUGUUGAACUGGUGGGCCUCUCCUGAAGUGAUGUUACCAGCCCAGCACACCUUAGCAUAGAGGACUGCAGUGGCCAUCACAGAGUUACAGAAGAAGUGAAGGAUGAGAGGGGAGUCCUAGUGGGUCUACAAAUCUGCUCUAUGUGUCGGCCUAUAUUCAGCCAAUAAAUGUGUUUUGAAAUGCUUUCCUUCAUCUUGGACCCCCAAGCCGUGGAUGUGAGCAAUUUUUAAAACUGUCUCUCUAUUCUGUUCGAUCUGCCUAUCCCCAAUGCAAUCAGA